rnacentral:ncRNA from 5 species
CAGGAGUGGAGCCUGCGGCUUAA